AUGUUGCUAUGCUGUUUUUCUUGUAUUCUUGCAUGGAUAUCAUGUGAAGAUUACUGGGUUUACCAGAUUUAUAGAAGAAUACAUACAAUAUCCGUCAAGAGAGCUAAAGUUGUACAUUUCUUGAAAGAUCUGCUCAGUGAUUUAUUCUUAUUUGAUUUUGUCCUUUUCCAUGUGAUUUGUUUCAUUCAAUGUGUUUCUGUUGCUAAGAACCCCCCUCCACCCAUGUAUUUUUCUCUCUACAUUCAUUCGCCAGGGCAAGCUAUGAGACUUAAUCAUUGUGUCUACAAUGUCUUCUUCCAUUGUGACAUUGUCUUUCUCUUCUCUCUCAUCUCUCGCUCGUGUGUGUUUGUGCUCAGCACUGGGGAUCUCUAUACUUACUGGACACUGAAGGGCCGCUCUGAUGAGAGAGAUGCUCGAGUGUUUGCUGCCGAGUCACCUCUGCUUGACUGAUUUCGGGCUGUCUCGCCAUCUUGAGCGUGGGGCUAGAGCUUUUACUGUCUGUGGCACAAUACAGUACAUAAGUGAGGCCGGAAUCUGAACUGCACUCUUUUUAAACGAGAAAGUACUGUGUUUACCAUCAGCUAUAUCUAGCAGUAACUAAAGACAUGUAUAGCUCUAAGCAAAUGAGCUAUUUCUGUAAUAAUGGAUAUUUAAUUACACGAUGUGGUCAUUAAACAGCUCCUGAGGUCCUGAGCGGCGGCCCGUACAGCCACGCUGCAGACUGGUGGUCUCUUGGCGUUCUUCUCUACGCUUUAGCCACUGGAGGGGUGAGACAUAUCCAGAGGCCAUACUGCAAGAUGAGCAUUGUACUUGAUGGAUGUGCCAAUCUCAAUGUGCAGAUCUCAGUGAUGUGUAGAAAGUGCCACAGGCUGCUUAUUCAGACGCUUGCAGUAGGAUUUAUUAAGAGCAUUAAUGAAGAACUAAUACAGGGAAUAGAACCAGAAACACGGAACAGGAGCAUACACCAGGAAACAAAGACUGACACUGAAUAAGGCAAACACAGGGGUAUAUAUACAAGGGGGUGAAACCAAUGAAUCACUAUGACAACAAACGUAGGAGGUAGAAGAGGAAACAGGAAAUAAGCACAGGAAGUGAAAACAGAAACUCUGGGGGCAGAAAAACACUUCAAAUUAAGAAUUCACAGUGAAACAGAAACAGGCUGGAUCAUAACACACAUAUUAUGUGAAAUAUAAAAACGUAAAAAAAAAAGAAGGUAUUUUAUUAAGAUCAUGUGAUGUUUAUGGGUAUACCCAAUAUUUUACUAACUAAACAAUAAAAUGUUUAAUAUAAAAUAAAAUAUUAAUUUA
ensembl:lncRNA